rnacentral:rRNA from 1 species
CCUACGGGAGGCUGCAGUGAGGAAUAUUGGUCAAUGGACGAGAGUCUGAACCAGCCAAGUAGCGUGAAGGAUGACUGCCCUAUGGGUUGUAAACUUCUUUUAUAUGGGAAUAAAAUGUUCCACGUGUGGGAUUUUGUAUGUACCAUAUGAAUAAGGAUCGGCUAACUCCGUGCCAGCAGCCGCGGUAAUACGGAGGGUCCGAGCGUUAUCCGGAUUUAUUGGGUUUAAAGGGAGCGUAGGUGGAUUGUUAAGUCAGUUGUGAAAGGUUGCGGCUCAACCGUAAAAUUGCAGUUGAAACUGGCAGUCUUGAGUACAGUAGAGGUGGGCGGAAGUCGUGGUGUAGCGGUGAAAUGCUUAGAUAUCACGAAGAACUCCGAUUGCGAAGGCAGCUCACUGGACUGCAACUGACACUGAGGCUCGAAAGUGUGGGUAUCAAACAGGAUUAGAUACCCCAGUAGUC